rnacentral:rRNA from 1 species
UUAAGCGACUAAGCGUACACGGUGGAUGCCCUGGCAGUCAGAGGCGAUGAAGGGCGUGCUAAUCUGCGAUAAGCGCCGGUAAGGUGAUAUGAACCGUUAUAACCGGCGAUACCCGAAUGGGGAAACCCAGUGUGAUUCGUCACACUAUCAUUAACUGAAUCCAUAGGUUAAUGAGGCGAACCGGGGGAACUGAAACAUCUAAGUACCCCGAGGAAAAGAAAUCAACCGAGAUUCCCCAGUAGCGGCGAGCGAACGGGGAGGAGCCCAGAGCCUGAAUCAGCAUGUGUGUUAGUGGAAGCGUCUGGAAAGGCGCGCGAUACAGGGUGACAGCCCCGUACACAAAAGCGCAUGUGCUGUGAGCUCGAUGAGUAGGGCGGGACACGUGGUAUCCUGUCUGAAUAUGGGGGGACCAUCCUCCAAGGCUAAAUACUCCUGACUGACCGAUAGUGAACCAGUACCGUGAGGGAAAGGCGAAAAGAACCCCGGCGAGGGGAGUGAAAAAGAACCUGAAACCGUGUACGUACAAGCAGUGGGAGCACCCUUCGGGGUGUGACUGCGUACCUUUUGUAUAAUGGGUCAGCGACUUAUAUUCUGUAGCAAGGUUAACCGUAUAGGGGAGCCGGAGGGAAACCGAGUCUUAAUUGGGCGUUAAGUUGCAGGGUAUAGACCCGAAACCCGGUGAUCUAGCCAUGGGCAGGUUGAAGGUUGGGUAACACUAACUGGAGGACCGAACCGACUAAUGUUGAAAAAUUAGCGGAUGACCUGUGGCUGGGGGUGAAAGGCCAAUCAAACCGGGAGAUAGCUGGUUCUCCCCGAAAGCUAUUUAGGUAGCGCCUCGUGAAUUCAUCUCCGGGGGUAGAGCACUGUUUCGGCUAGGGGGCCAUCCCGGCUUACCAACCCGAUGCAAACUGCGAAUACCGGAGAAUGUUAUCACGGGAGACACACGGCGGGUGCUAACGUCCGUCGUGAAGAGGGAAACAACCCAGACCGCCAGCUAAGGUCCCAAAGUCAUGGUUAAGUGGGAAACGAUGUGGGAAGGCCCAGACAGCCAGGAUGUUGGCUUAGAAGCAGCCAUCAUUUAAAGAAAGCGUAAUAGCUCACUGGUCGAGUCGGCCUGCGCGGAAGAUGUAACGGGGCUAAACCAUGCACCGAAGCUGCGGCAGCGAACGUAUCACCCAAGACAACUUUACGGAGUUGACGAUUGACGGAGCGAAGCGACGUCAAAGCGUUCAUUAAAGUCGAGUUGGCUUAGGGAUACGUUCGUUGGGUAGGGGAGCGUUCUGUAAGCCUGUGAAGGUGUGUCGUGAGGCAUGCUGGAGGUAUCAGAAGUGCGAAUGCUGACAUAAGUAACGAUAAAGCGGGUGAAAAGCCCGCUCGCCGGAAGACCAAGGGUUCCUGUCCAACGUUAAUCGGGGCAGGGUGAGUCGACCCCUAAGGCGAGGCCGAAAGGCGUAGUCGAUGGGAAACGGGUUAAUAUUCCCGUACUUGGUGUUACUGCGAAGGGGGGACGGAGAAGGCUAUGUUGGCCGGGCGACGGUUGUCCCGGUUUAAGCGUGUAGGUGUGUGUUCCAGGUAAAUCCGGUUCACUUUAACACUGAGGCGUGACGACGAGGCACUACGGUGCUGAAGCAACAAAUGCCCUGCUUCCAGGAAAAGCCUCUAAGCAUCAGGUAACAUCAAAUCGUACCCCAAACCGACACAGGUGGUCAGGUAGAGAAUACCAAGGCGCUUGAGAGAACUCGGGUGAAGGAACUAGGCAAAAUGGUGCCGUAACUUCGGGAGAAGGCACGCUGACACGUAGGUGAAGUGAUUUACUCAUGGAGCUGAAGUCAGUCGAAGAUACCAGCUGGCUGCAACUGUUUAUUAAAAACACAGCACUGUGCAAACACGAAAGUGGACGUAUACGGUGUGACGCCUGCCCGGUGCCGGAAGGUUAAUUGAUGGGGUCAGCGCAAGCGAAGCUCCUGAUCGAAGCCCCGGUAAACGGCGGCCGUAACUAUAACGGUCCUAAGGUAGCGAAAUUCCUUGUCGGGUAAGUUCCGACCUGCACGAAUGGCGUAAUGAUGGCCAGGCUGUCUCCACCCGAGACUCAGUGAAAUUGAACUCGCUGUGAAGAUGCAGUGUACCCGCGGCAAGACGGAAAGACCCCGUGAACCUUUACUAUAGCUUGACACUGAACAUUGAGCCUUGAUGUGUAGGAUAGGUGGGAGGCUUUGAAGUGUGGACGCCAGUCUGCAUGGAGCCGACCUUGAAAUACCACCCUUUAAUGUUUGAUGUUCUAACGUGGACCCGUAAUCCGGGUUGCGGACAGUGUCUGGUGGGUAGUUUGACUGGGGCGGUCUCCUCCUAAAGAGUAACGGAGGAGCACGAAGGUUGGCUAAUCCUGGUCGGACAUCAGGAGGUUAGUGCAAUGGCAUAAGCCAGCUUGACUGCGAGCGUGACGGCGCGAGCAGGUGCGAAAGCAGGUCAUAGUGAUCCGGUGGUUCUGAAUGGAAGGGCCAUCGCUCAACGGAUAAAAGGUACUCCGGGGAUAACAGGCUGAUACCGCCCAAGAGUUCAUAUCGACGGCGGUGUUUGGCACCUCGAUGUCGGCUCAUCACAUCCUGGGGCUGAAGUAGGUCCCAAGGGUAUGGCUGUUCGCCAUUUAAAGUGGUACGCGAGCUGGGUUUAGAACGUCGUGAGACAGUUCGGUCCCUAUCUGCCGUGGGCGCUGGAGAACUGAGGGGGGCUGCUCCUAGUACGAGAGGACCGGAGUGGACGCAUCACUGGUGUUCGGGUUGUCAUGCCAAUGGCACUGCCCGGUAGCUAAAUGCGGAAGAGAUAAGUGCUGAAAGCAUCUAAGCACGAAACUUGCCCCGAGAUGAGUUCUCCCUGAGACUUAGAGUCUCCUGAAGGAACGUUGAAGACGACGACGUUGAUAGGCCGGGUGUGUAAGCGCAGCGAUGCGUUGAGCUAACCGGUACUAAUGAACCGUGAGGCUUAACCUU